UACAGAGGGUGCGAGCGUUAAUCGGAAUUACUGGGCGUAAAGCGUGCGUAGACGGUUAUUUAAGUCGGGUGUGAAAGCCCCGGGCUCAACCUGGGAAUUGCAUUCGAGACUGAAUAGCUAGGGUGCGGUAGAGGGAAGCGGAAUUUCCGGUGUAGCGGUGAAAUGCGUAGAUAUCAAGAGGAACACCAGUGGCGAAGGCGAGUCCCUGGACGAUACCUGACACUGAGGCACGAAAGCCAAGGGAGCAAACAGG
rnacentral:rRNA from 1 species